AACGCACCUUGCGCCCUUUGGUAUUCCGAAGGGCAUGCCUGUUUGAGUGUCAUUAAAUUAUCAACCUUCUUGCUUUGCUUGCAAAGCAUCUAGGCUUGGAUGUGGGGGUUUUUGCUGGCUUCCUUCAGUGGAUGGUCUGCUCCCCUUAAAUGCAUUAGCGGGAUCUCUUGUGGACCGUCACUUGGUGUGAUAAUUAUCUAUACCACUUGGCCUUGAAGCAAAUCUUAUGAGGACCCGCUCAUAACCGUCCCCUCUGGGACAACUCCUGACAUUUUGACCUCAAAUCAGGUAGGACUACCCGCUGAACUUAA
rnacentral:misc_RNA from 1 species